ACCAGUUUUAAUUACACCAGUGGGUUUUGUUUCAGUGACUCUCCAGAUUAAAAAUCUCUCCAAGUUACAGUUUGCUUUCUCUUCCAUGCCAAAAAAAAAAAAAAGUCUGGUUUUGCCAUGCGGUAGCUGCCCCUGGGUACCCUGCUGUCAAAGCCCGGCAGUGCCGGGGCACUGUAGUAUGACCGCAAGGUAAGGAAGGCAAAAGGAGCCACAGGCGGAGCUGAUGGUUCUGAUUAACAUUACGAACCUGGUGUGAGGCGGGCACCGGUACCCCUCGGGACCUCUGAACUUGUGCUUGGUUUCCUUACACAAGCGAAACCACCUUAGCUACCAAGAAUGAAUCUUGGCGUAAUGACAUGCUGGGCUGCGGAUGGAUGAUCCCAUCUGCAUUUGGAGCAGGCUGUUUCCCCAUGGUGAUCCACCCCAUGCUGCUGAUACUCACCAACACCUCCGGGCUGCCCGGAGGGAGUGCUCCUCUGGGGAGCUGCGAAGAUCUGGUGCGGGGCACGACUGUUUUGGGGUCCACAGGGAGGGGACGCUGGCAGUGAUGAGAGGGCUGGGCAGGCUCUAAGGGAGGAAGAUGGCUCUGCCACCCAGCUGCCACGUAGCGGGAGUUUUUUUCAGCGGCAGCGGAGCUCUCGGUUUGGCUGUGUGCUGCACAGCUGUAAUUCUCCUUUUGGACGUGACUUUUGGAAAGAAAACCUCCUUCAUUCUUCUGUUUCUGCCAAUCUACUUCUGCGAGGCACUGCCACCCUCCCUUAGAGGAUUAAAGAAGAGAACAGUGUGCACCCUUGGAACAUGAGAUAAACUGGUAAAAGCCACCCGUCCUUGCUGAACAUGCUUGUUCUGCAUCAAAACUGUGGGUGAUUUGACAGAGGGAAAAAAAUGAAGGAAUGAUGAAGCUGUGGCAAUUCUGCUGCUAACAUGCUUUUCAAGAUGAACCGCAGAUAAAGUACUGCCCCUCCCAUCAUGAUGUCACUUUGGUAGAGAUUAUGAGAGCUGUACUCGGUUCACCUUGUUUUGAGCAAAUUUUCAGGGUUAAAAGAAUGCUAUCCAAAAGCAUCUGUGUGAGGACAGAUGCCAGGAUUAAGAGGUACAAUGUGUAUUAACACCACAUAAAUCUAUAUAUUGUUUGAGUCUGAGUCAGAAUAUCAUAAAAAAGCUGAAAUGUGGCUUCACAAGAAGGAUGUAAAGGUAUUUUACCCUACUCUACUCAUGAGGAAAGUAGGAAAAGUCACCCUCCCAUUUAUUUGAGGUGUUAGGAAUGAUUUGCUCAGUAAAAACAUCCAUCCACUUUGUUUAUAUUUGGAGUAAACGGAAAGGGAGAGAGAUGGCGUCUAACCAGAAACUGAAGAUGAACUGCCUGAUAGUCUGCUGUCUCCAACACCCAGAGUUUUAGAACGAAGGCUGGCAAAUAGUUAGUUUUAGGAAAAGCACAAGGCAUUGUCUGUUUUCCUCCAGCAUCGUACUCCAGCACUGGGAGAGAAAGAGAAAGGUGCAGAAUAAUCUGUUCCCUCCCGAUAAAGCGUAGCAAGUUAUUUUCACAAAAGAGCAGUGGAAUUAGGCUGAACUCCAUGAUAUCUGCAUAGAAAUAUUUUUACAUAUUGAAUCAAAGUCUGGUGGGCCUCCUUUCAGCAGGAGAGAUGGAUGCAUCUUUCUUCUGGGGUCUGUGCCUAUUACAUGCUACAUUCAGUACUCCGGCGGCUUUAUUGAUGUAAUAUAUGAGGUACUGGAAAGAAUAAAUGCUUAAGAAAAAUUAUCAGCCUGGGGACAAAUGGCAUUAUCACUAAUUGCACUUUACUAAUUCUGUCUACUCAAAAGGAAAGGAGGUAAUCUGGAACAAAGUAUGUGGUUACUGCAGGAUGAAGAAAUUCUGCUUGGAAUUGCAGCUCGCAGCGAGUGACUCAUAUUGCACAAACAGCCGAGGUGUGGGUAGCACUAGCAGACAAUUGCCUGUAAUGACUACCGCGUGCAACUUAAUGAAUGAAGCACUGAAUAAAGAGCUCUCUGCAAGUUGCAGCUAUGUGAAUGGCGAGCCUUUCAUUUUAAGCUAGAGCCCUGUAUCACAAAUAUUAGGUUUGAUAAACACGUUUUCAAGAUGUUUAAGUAUAUCCGUGAAUGGGGUACAGAACUGAGACAGCAGAUAUUGCAUCUGAUUUCUAGAAUUUCAGUCUGGCUGUAGCGUUUUGAGACUCAAAAUGUACUUCUAUAAAGGCAAACAAUCAUUUCUGAAAGGUACAUUCCAUUUUGGGUUUGAUGUCGAUCACGGAAAGGAUGUGGCUAUUAUUUUUAUUCUGGUCCAAGCUCAUGUUUUCAGAUAUUCCAUGUACAUCCUGCUGUUCGUACAUGUUCUUCCACUAGCCACCUGCAGUAGCACUGCGCAGAUUGUGAGCAAGAAGGGCUAUGUUCCUCUGGCACAAGUCAAAUAUGCUGUGAUGGGGCACUAAGGACACUCGUGGCUCACAUCAGACUAGCAUCUGCGGUUCCCAAACCGUGUCUGGCCUGUCCACUGUCUGGGGCUGCCUGGCUAGCAGCUAGUGUGCAGUCAGUGGGAAGGAAUAGGUGAGCGCUUCAUUCUUGUGUCAAUAUAGCCCUUAGCAGUCGUGAUGAUGUUUGACAACUGAGCUGACAGCCUGCCAGGUGUUAUUUCAGGUGCAAGGGCCAUGCUUCGCAAAGGCUGGGCUCUGAAAUAGACCAAGGAAUACUGUGAGUUAUUCCUAGUCUCCUGUUUGAAGUAGUAUUUUAAAUAGAGUAAUGAUUGUAUCUUAAUAAUCAGAUAUAUUUGUAAAGGCUUAUCAUGGAACCUGCACUUCUAAGGACGAUAACAGGCUAUAUAAUGAAUGAAGCACUGAAUUAGUAAAGACUUCUCUGCAAGACAUCUUUUAUGUGAAUGGGAAGCCUGUGAUUUGAAACUAAAGCUUUACCUUUGAUCUUGAUCCGAAAGUGUCCUCAGCGCUGUGUUGCAAGAUGUUUCUUGCAGUGCAGCCCAUCCCUUUGUGUCACCACCUUGGCUUAGCAGCUAACAUAGGUCAGAUACUGAAACUGCGUUUACUGACAUCAGGUUUUGAAGACAGUUUGCUUGACAUAGGAUCUAAUUUGAACAAGUGCAGUACCAAUGACAGAAGAAUAAAAUGAAAGAGAGGUAGAAAUAUUUUUAGUGAAAAGCUAGCCCUAUACUUCGUUGAAAAAUGUCAUGACUCAGAGAACGUCAAAUGGAUUGAGUUCUCCAUGGCUCCUCGGUGACCCCCACAGAUGCUUCCUGCCUUGAAUUCGGCGUGUUUGUAGCCUUUUGUAGGCUACUUGCAUCCCACGCAGACAUCCCUUCACCAGCAUCCUGUGAACCUCUAGCUGUGUUUCCUUGUGAGUGCUUCCUACAGCAGAAGGACCGGUUUCUGCUUCGCCGUAGCCAAGCGCGCAGAGAACUCGGCUCGCCUGUACGAUGGUGCAAACUCUGCUAAAUGAACGGUGCCUGUCUGACCAAGGCAAAUACCUCUCCU